rnacentral:rRNA from 1 species
CCUACGGGUGGCUGCAGUGGGGAAUAUUGGACAAUGGGCGAAAGCCUGAUCCAGCCAUGCCGCGUGUGUGAAGAAGGCCUUCGGGUUGUAAAGCACUUUCAGUGGGGAAGAAAGCCUUGGGGCUAAUACCCUCGAGGAAGGACAUCACCCACAGAAGAAGCACCGGCUAACUCCGUGCCAGCAGCCGCGGUAAUACGGAGGGUGCGAGCGUUAAUCGGAAUUACUGGGCGUAAAGCGCGCGUAGGCGGUCUGAUAAGCCGGUUGUGAAAGCCCCGGGCUCAACCUGGGAACGGCAUCCGGAACUGUCAGGCUAGAGUGCAGGAGAGGAAGGUAGAAGUCCCGGUGUAGCGGUGAAAUGCGUAGAGAUCGGGAGGAAUACCAGUGGCGAAGGCGGCCUUCUGGACUGACACUGACGCUGAGGUGCGAAAGCGUGGGUAGCAAACAGGAUUAGAUACCCCUGUAGUC